GACGAACGCUGGCGGCGUGCCUAAUACAUGCAAGUAGAACGCUGAAGGAGGAGCUUGCUUCUCUGGAUGAGUUGCGAACGGGUGAGUAACGCGUAGGUAACCUGCCUGGUAGCGGGGGAUAACUAUCGGAAACGAUAGCUAAUACCGCAUAAUAGUAGAUGUUGCAUGACAUUUGCUUAAAAGGUGCAAUUGCAUCACUACCAGAUGGACCUGCGUUGUAUUAGCUAGUUGGUGAGGUAACGGCUCACCAAGGCGACGAUACAUAGCCGACCUGAGAGGGUGAUCGGCCACACUGGGACUGAGACACGGCCCAGACUCCUACAGGAGGCAGCAGUAGGGAAUCUUCGGCAAUGGACGGAAGUCUGACCGAGCAACGCCGCGUGAGUGAAGAAGGUUUUCGGAUCGUAAAGCUCUGUUGUAAGAGAAGAACGAGUGUGAGAGUGGAAAGUUCACACUGUGACGGUAUCUUACCAGAAAGGGACGGCUAACUACGUG
rnacentral:rRNA from 1 species